UACGUAGGGGGCGAGCGUUGUCCGGAUUUAUUGGGCGUAAAGAGCUCGUAGGCGGCUCGGUAAGUCGGAUGUGAACCUCCAGGCUCAACCUGGAGACGCCAUCUGAUACUGCCGUGGCUUGAGUCCGGUAGAGGAGGCAGGGAAUUCCUGGGUGUAGCGGUGAAAUGCGCAGAUAUCAGGAGGAACACCAGCGGCGAAGGCGCUGCUCUGGGCCGGUACUGACGCUGAGGAGCGAAAGCGUGGGGAGCGAACAGG
rnacentral:rRNA from 1 species